GGAGAGGUGGCAGAGUGGUCGAAUGUACCUGACUCGAAAUCAGGCGUACGGGCGACCGUACCGUGGGUUCGAAUCCCACCCUCUCCGCCA
rnacentral:tRNA from 2 species